rnacentral:rRNA from 1 species
GAUGAACGCUGGCGGCGUUCCUAAUACAUGCAAGUCGAGCGAACAGACUAGGAGCUUGCUCCUUUGACGUUAGCGGCGGACGGGUGAGUAACACGUGGUUAACCUACCUAUACGACUGGGAUAACUUCGGGAAACCGGAGCUAAUACCGGAUAAUAUUUCGAACCGCAUUGUUCUAUAGUGAAAGAUGGCUCUGCUAUCACUUAUAGAUGUACCUGCGCCGUAUUAGCUAGUUGGUAAGUUAACGGCUUCCCAAGGCAACGAUACGUCGCCGACCUGAAAUGGUGCACGGCCACACUGAAACUGAGACACGGUAGAGACACCAACAGGAGGCAGCAGUAGGGCAUCUUCAGCAAUGGGAGCAAGCAUGACGGAGCAACGCCGAGCGAGAGCUGACGGUCUUCGGAUAGUAAAACUCUGUUAUUAGGGAAGAACAAACGUGUAAGUAACUGUGAACGCCUUAACGGUACCUAAUCAGAAAGCCCCGGCUACAAAAGCA